rnacentral:rRNA from 1 species
AUUGAACGCUGGCGGUAUGCCUUACACAUGCAAGUCGAACGGCAGCAUGGAAGAGCUUGCUCUUCUGAUGGCGAGUGGCGAACGGGUGAGUAAAGCAUCGGAACGUACCGUGUAGUGGGGGAUAACGUAGCGAAAGUUACGCUAAUACCGCAUACGCACUGAGGUGGAAAGCAGGGGAUCGCAAGACCUUGCGCUAUACGAGCGGCCGAUGUCAGAUUAGCUAGUUGGUAGGGUAAAGGCCUACCAAGGCGACGAUCUGUAGCGGGUCUGAGAUGAUGAUCCGGCACACGGGGAAUGAGACACGGCCCAGACUCCUACGGGAGGCAGCAGUGGGGAAUGUUGGACAAUGGGCGAAAGCCUGAUCCAGCCAUGCCGCGUGGGUGAAGAAGGCCUUCGGGUUGUAAAGCUCUUUCGGCUGGGAAGAAAUCGCACAGGCUAAUACUCUGUGUGGAUGACGGUACCAGCACAAGAAGCACCGGCUAACUACGUGCCAGCAGCCGCCGCAG